rnacentral:misc_RNA from 1 species
AAGAGCAAAAUAGACAAACAAAUGAUUUAAGGAAUGCUCUGCAUCAUUCUCAAAUUAGUGAAGCGGAAUUACGCAUUAUCGUUGAUGGUUGCCUGAACCACUACUUUGAGCUCUUCCGCGUCAAGGCUACGGCUGCUAAAGCUGAUGUCCUAUAUAUCAUGUCUGGCAUGUGGAAGACAUCAGCAGAACGCUUUUUUAUGUGGAUUGGGGGGUUUCGGCCAUCCGAGCUUCUAA